UAAAAUGCUACAAAUUUAUUAGUUAAUAAUGUAUAGGCGUCGAUAUCUUUAGUGAAGAAAUGUGUAUCACACGAAAAAUUUGAUGUGUUUUCUAACAUCGUCGAUAUUCAAUACACGUUAGUAUAACCUAUUGGUACAUAAAACUUCAUUAUAGAACAAGACAAGACCACAAUAGAUCUGAGAAUGUCGCAGUCUGAGAUCAGGCCGAGAUCAACCUCUAGAAAUCUAAUCUAGAACAAGACAAAGACCUUACUUGCAAACUACCAUACAUAUCUUUUAAAAAGGAUGCUAAGUCAAGAAGUUUAGAUAAAUCUACAAUAUAUUAUCAUCAGACCAAAAGAAGAAUAAUUAUUUAAAAGAAUAAGUUAUGUUAUGAUACAUAUAUAGAUUUGGAUGACAUCGCUUCAGGUGGUUUUACCAGUCAGGACUAACAGGGAUAUUAAUCAAAACAAUGAAAAAAAGCUCAAAUAAAUUUGAACCUAAUAACAAGAAUGUUGU